rnacentral:tRNA from 1 species
GCGGGUGUAGCUCAAUGGUAGAGUUCUGGCCUUCCAAGCCAGCUGUGAGGGUUAGAUCCCCUUCACCCGCUCCA